rnacentral:misc_RNA from 1 species
AUAUUUGCAAGCAAGAACAA